AGAAGUUACUUAAGGGCGAACGGAGGAUGCCUUGGCUUCUAUGGGCGAAGAAGGACGUGGUAAGCUGCGAAAAGCUGCGGGGAUUUGCAAACUAGAUUUGAUCCGCGGAUAUCCGAAUGGGGCAACCCGGCUGGCUGAAGGCCAGUCACGCAGAGAUGCGUGCCAACGCAGGGAACUGAAACAUCUUAGUACCUGCAGGAAAAGAAAGAAAAAUCGAUUCUCUGAGUAGUGGCGAGCGAAAGGGGAAUAGCCUAAACCGGUUUUGUUGAGGCAAAACCGGGGUUGUAGGACCGCGACAUUUGGUAUAGAUACGAAGUGGAACCAUAUGGGAAUAUGGGCCGUAGAGGGUGACAGCCCCUUACACGUAUUUAUCUGUACUGAUAGCGGUAUCCUGAGUAGGGCGGGACACGAGGAAUCCUGUCUGAAUCUACGGGGACCAUCCCGUAAGGCUAAAUACCAAUAGAAGACCGAUAGUGUACCAGUACUGUGAAGGAAAGGUGAAAAGUACCCCGAACAGGGGGGUGAAAUAGAACCUGAAACCGUUCGCUUACAAGCGGUCGGAGUCCCGUAAGGGAUGACGGCGUGCCUUUUGCAUAAUGAGCCUACGAGUUGUUUCUCACUAGCGAGGUUAAGUACUUCAGGUACGGAGCCGAAGCGAAAGCGAGUCUUAAAAGGGCGACUAGUUAGUGGGAACAGACGCGAAACCUUGUGAUCUACCCUUGACCAGGUUGAAGGAGCCGUAACAGGCUGUGGAGGACCGAACCAGUUUCCGUUGAAAAGGAUUUGGAUGAGUUGAGGGUAGGGGUGAAAGGCUAAUCAAACUGGGAGAUAGCUCGUACUCCCCGAAAUGUCUUUUGGGACAGCCUCAAGUAAUAGCUUAACGGAGGUAGAGCUACUGAUUGGAUGCGAGGGCUUCAUCGCCUAUCAAUUCCAGACAAACUCCGAAUGCCGUUAAGUGUUUCUUGGGAGUGAGUCAUCGGGUGCUAAUGUCCGGUGGCGAGAGGGAAAAAGCCCUGACCAACAGCUAAGGCCCCCAAACGUGUGUUAAGUUGAAAGAACGAUGUGUGGUUGCAGCGACAGCUAGGAUGUUAGCUUGGAAGCAGCUAUUCAUUUAAAGAGUGCGUAACAGCUCACUAGUCGAGCGACCGUGCGUGGAUAAUAAUCGGGCAUCAAACACACUGCCGAAGCUAUGGACUUUAGGAAUAGAGUGGUAGGGGAGCAUUCCAUUCAGCGACGAAGGUGAACUGUGAGGUUUGCUGGAGCGUAUGGAAAAGAAGAUGUAGGCAUAAGUAACGAUAAUGCAGGCGAGAAACCUGCACACCGAAAACCCAAGGUUUCCUGAUCAACGUUAAUCGGAUCAGGGUUAGUCGGGUCCUAAGGAGUAUCCGAAAGGAGAAUUCGAUGGACAAAUGGUUAAUAUUCCAUUACCUGUAUAUUGAGAGCGGGAGAGACGGAGUAGUGACACACACGCCAACUGACGGAAUAGUUGGUUAAAGGCCGUAGGUAUAGGAACUGGUUAAGAGCUGGUUUUUGCUGAUGGUUUACAGUACACUGAGUCUUCGGAUGAAGUGAUAGUUGUGGUAAACAGACUUCCAAGAAAAUCUUCCAAUCGUUAAUUGAUAUACAGCCCGUACCGUAAACCGACACAGGUGGGUGAGGAGAGAAUCCUAAGGUGCUCGAGUGAAUCAUGGCUAAGGAACUCGGCAAAUUAACCCCGUAACUUCGGGAGAAGGGGACCCUAGCGAUAGGGCGCAGAGAAAUGAUCCAGGCGACUGUUUAACAAAAACACAGGGCUUUGCUAAAUCGAAAGAUGAAGAAUAAGGCCUGACACCUGCCCGGUGCUGGAAGGUUAAGAGGGGAUGUUAGCGCAAGCGAAGCAUUGAAUCGAAGCCCCAGUAAACGGCGGCCGUAACUAUAACGGUCCUAAGGUAGCGAAAUUCCUUGUCGGGUAAGUUCCGACCUGCACGAAUGGUGUAACGAUCUGGAUACUGUCUCG
rnacentral:rRNA from 1 species